rnacentral:rRNA from 1 species
AUGGCUCAGGAUGAACGCUAGCUACAGGCUUAACACAUGCAAGUCGAGGGGCAGCAUGAUCUUAGCUUGCUAAGAUUGAUGGCGACCGGCGCACGGGUGAGUAACGCGUAUCCAACCUUCCCUAUAGUAGGGGAUAGCCCGUAGAAAUGCGGAUUAAUACCCUAUGUUGUAUUUUUGAGGACAUCUGACGAAUACCAAAGGUUCACCGCUAUAGGAUGGGGGAUGCGUCUGAUUAGGUAGUCGGCGGGGUAACGGCCCACCGAGCCAACGAUCAGUAGGGGUUCUGAGAGGAAGGUCCCCCCACAUUGGAACUGAGACACGGUCCAAACUCCUACGGGAGGCAGCAGUGAGGAAUAUUGGUCAAUGGGCGAGAGCCUGGACCAGCCAAGUAGCGUGCAGGAUGACGGCCCUAUGGGUUGUAAACUGCUUUUAUGCGGGGAUAAAGUGAGGGACGUGUCCCUUAUUGUAGGUACCGCAUGAAUAAGGACCGGCUAAUUCCGUGCCAGCCGCGGC